GCAAAGUUUUCUUUUGACCUCACCCAGCACAUGGCAGAGUGUUAGGCAUGUAUUUCUCAAGUCACGUAAAUAAUUGAUUUUCAUUAUUAUUUACAUCAAGCACAGUUGGAUAAUGGUACCCAUCUGGAGAGAUGCUGAGUAUGUUUGCAGUAGACGUCACUGAUGCUUUAUUCCACCACCACUUCCUGGCAGACCCUCAAAUCACAGACCCCACAUCUCCUACCAUAACCACUUCUGUGCUGAUAUGACUUCAGACUUUGAGAUAAUGGUGUUUGUAGAGCUUAGGAGAGGUAGCCUCACCAUUGUUUCAGUUUGCUCAAGUCUUCUUGCUGUGCAUGUUGGUCAGCUUGUUUGUCAGUUUCCAAAUCUGGGUAUAGGAAAAAUUCUUAUUGCUAAGCUAGAGAUGAGAAAGACAUAGUCUUCAGAAGAAAGCCAAUACAUAUGGGACUGUUGUAGAAACAUGAGAGCUCUCUGAAGUAGCCAGUAUGUCCACUCUAACUACAGUAUACGAGACUUUACCUUAUUCAGAGUUUUCUCAUGUGUGAUUGUAUGUCUAAAAUGGCAAGGGCAGUCUUUGUGUGGGAGUACUGUGGAGGUUUUGAAUUAAAUCCUUUGAAUUCCUUUUUUUCACAUUAUUUUUAUUUUCCAUAAGAGUAGGUGGAGAGACAGUCAAACUGGAUGGAAAAGGUGCUACUGACUCAUAAGGAUGAGAAAUAGCCGGCCUUAAGAAGGCAUUCUGGAUUUAUGCUUGCUGAUUCAUAACUUCCUACAUACGUAUGAGGGGGGGAAGUGUGCAUUCUGCCCUGAGCUAUAAUCUGCAGGAAACCCGCCCUCCCAUCACAAAGUGAGACACUAGUUUCAGAGCUGUAGGUGGACUUAACUUCAACUCACAGAAUUAUGUUCCUGGGAAAAAUUUUUAGAAUAAUGGCACGAAAACAUUACUCCCAGAAUACCAAUUUACUUUCUUUGUUUUCACGGAAAAGUCCAAAAACAGCUGGAUCUCAAACUUCCCAGUUUAACACCAGGAUGAAACUCCAGUCCAGAGAGCCAACUGUAUCCUGGGUUGCACCAAAAGAAGUGUGGUCAGCAGAUCAAGAAAGAUGAUCCUGCCACUCUACUGGGUGCUUUUGAGACCUCAUGUUUGAGCAUUGCAUCCAGACCGGGAGUCCUCUACACAGGAGAGAUGUGGACAUGUUGGAGCGCAUCCAGAGGAGGGCCAUGAAAGGAGCACUGCCUCUGUGAGGACAAGCUGAGAUAGGUAGGACUGUUCCACCUGGAGCAGGCUCUGGGGAGACCUGAUAGUGGAAUCUCUGUAUCUAAAGUGAAGCUAUAAGAAAGAAAGACACAGACUUUAGCAGAGUCUGUUGUGAUAGGACAAAGGGAAAUGGUUUCAAACUAUAAGAGGGGAGGUUUAGUUGGAGAUUAGGAAAAUGUGUUUUACAAUGAGGUUGGUGAGGCACUGGAACACGUUGCCCAGAGAAAUGGUGGAAGCCCUGUCCUUGGAUAUAUUCAAGGUCAGGCUGGAUGGGGCUCAGAGCAAUGUGAUCUAGCUGUAGAUGUACCUGUUCAGUGCAGGAGAGUUGGACUAGAUAACCUUUAAUUGCCCCUUCCAACUCAAACAAUUCUAUUAUUUGGCGAUACUAUAAAGUGUGGUGGUACCUAUGUGGUACAUUAUGGCACCUUUUUCUCCUCCAGUUCCUCCCCAAAACUUCUUUUAAAACAUGAGAACAGCUGCUCUGCUUGUGCUUUCUGGGGCUGUAUCUCCCAGGCAUGGGUGGUCCAGAUGAGUAAGACAGAAAUCAGACACAGGGAGGCUUCUGCCAAGACCACCAGGGACAAGUUUGUCAGGACAAAGGGAUCCUCCAAGGCACAAGGCCCUGUAACUUUAAGUUGUAACCCAGGCCACUUGACCUCCACCCAGUCGAAUGGCAAGCUGAGGUUUUAAUUAAGAUUCUCCUAUGCUCCAAACAAAAACAGAGUGUAAUCAAUGAAUCUGGCUAUUUGUUUUCAUCUAAGAGGUACAUCUGGAAGGUUUGGGUGGAUUAAUUUGGAGUGUCACAAGAGCCAGGUAGUUCAAGGCACUUGGAAUACAUCUUCAUUGUUC
ensembl:lncRNA